UUUAAUGCAUUUCAGAUAUACCUAUUAGCACCUGCUUUUCCCUAAAAAGCCCCUUUCUAAACACUUGGUGUUUUGACUCUGUGUUUUUCCUUGUGUCGUAGGUCUUUAAAUACUCUGCACCAGUUUUGCUGUCCAGCUCCAUUGUACCAUACCCAGCUAGCUGUCCCUGCCACACACUCAGAGUACAGGGAAGAUAAUGUUCUGCACCAGUUCUGCUGUCCACCUUCCGGGUCUAGUAGUCCAUCUUCAAGAUAACAGAGAUGCUUGGGGUCGCUAACCGUGCAGUCAGUGCUACAUCUGUAUAGUCCAUCUCUCCUCUUCUCUCUUACUGGUGUGUAUGGGACUGACACUUGCAUGGAUGCCAUAGGAUUCUGAUUCAUGUCAAGUUUGAGUUAUUCAGAAUGGCACAGCCAUAAAUUUUUGCUAUCAAUGCUUGGUAAUCUCAUCUCCAUGCUUUUCUACAACUCUCUUCCUUGUGUCCAGUGUUUAAAACACAUGCAAACUGUAAACAAAUACAUCAAAUGCACAGUUUAUUUUGAACUGAAAUAAACAGUACCAUAAGUCUUUAA